rnacentral:rRNA from 1 species
GACCCGGGCAACAUCGUCAAACUGCGGGAAAGCCCUGCCACGACUCUCGGGACCUCACCGCCCCAGCAAUGGAAGCGGGUGCCUACGGCCAACGGCCGCGGGUACGGUAAAGCACCGAAGUCUAGGGGCGAUCCGCCGCCAAACCCUCCCCGCACCGGGAGGGCCCAGCUCACAGGCCAGACGGCGAUGGGCGCUCUCGCGCUUAAGAUAUGGUCGAGUGACUCGCCGAGAGGCGGGUGCAACUCAGGAACGUCCGUAGGUGAACCUGCGGAAGGAUCAUU